CCCGUGGCUAUUCCAUGGAUAUUUGUUCCUAUUGGUUUGUUCCAAGUCACGUGACUUUCAAGAACAAAAAACAUGGCGGACAGUUCUCUCAUUUUUAGUGAAAAAAAAAAAUCAAUAUUUUGACUUAGUUUCUGCAUAAAAAUGGAUUU